rnacentral:rRNA from 1 species
AUUGAACGCUGGCGGCAGGCUUAACACAUGCAAGUCGAGCGGAGUGAUGGUGCUUGCACUAUCACUUAGCGGCGGACGGGUGAGUAAUGCUUAGGAAUCUGCCUAUUAGUGGGGGACAACAUCUCGAAAGGGAUGCUAAUACCGCAUACGUCCUACGGGAGAAAGCAGGGGAUCACUUGUGACCUUGCGCUAAUAGAUGAGCCUAAGUCGGAUUAGCUAGUUGGUGGGGUAAAGGCAUACCAAGGCGACGAUCUGUAGCGGGUCUGAGAGGAUGAUCCGCCACACUGGGACUGAGACACGGCCCAGACUCCUACGGGAGGCAGCAGUGGGGAAUAUUGGACAAUGGGGGGAACCCUGAUCCAGCCAUGCCGCGUGUGUGAAGAAGGCCUUAUGGUUGUAAAGCACUUUAAGCGAGGAGGAGGCUCUUUUGGUUAAUACCCAAGAUGAGUGGACGUUACUCGCAGAAUAAGCACCGGCUAACUCUGUGCCAGCCGCCGCCGUAAUAC